rnacentral:rRNA from 1 species
UUGGAGGGCAAGUCUGGUGCCAGCAGCCGCGGUAAUUCCAGCUCCAAUAGCGUAUAUUAAAGUUGUUGCAGUUAAAAAGCUCGUAGUUGAACUUCGGGGUUUACUCAUUGGUCAGGCUUAAUUGUUUGUACUGGUGAGAUGAAUCUCUACCUUCUGAGGAACUUUCAUGUCAUUUAUUUGGUGUGAUUGGAAAUCAGGACUGUUACUUUGAAAAAAUUAGAGUGUUUAAAGCAGGCUAACGUCUGAAUACAUUAGCAUGGAAUAAUGAAAUAGGACGGACUGAUUCUAUUUCGUUGGUUUCUAGGAUCACCGUAAUGAUUAAUAGGGAUAGUUGGGGGCAUUAGUAUUCAAUUGUCAGAGGUGAAAUUCUUGGAUUUAUUGAAGACUAACUACUGCGAAAGCAUUUGCCAAGGAUGUUUUCAUUAAUCAAGAACGAAAGUUAGGGGAUCGAAGACGAUCAGAUACCGUCGUAGUCUUAACCAUAAACUAUGCCGACUAGGGAUCGGACGAAGUUAAUUUAUAAUGACGCGUUC